UAAAAAAUAUUAAUAUUUAUUAAAAAAAAAAUUAAUAAUCGCUUUAUGCAUUUUGCGGAAUGUAAAGAAAUUGUGCGCAUGCGCAAAAGUAUUUAGCGCUGCCCAACUGCGCCAUUUUUCAAAUUAUUUAUUUCUCUUUAAUUUAUUUGCACAGAGAGCAGAUGCACGGAUCUCUGCGAUCGCAUCAUUUAUUAUGGAUACAGAAGAUCAAGAUAUGUUACUAAUUGCAGCUAAGGAAGAUUGACAAAACAGUUUUUAAAUGGAGAAUUAACAUUUAGUGAAUAAUCAUCAAGAAUGGGAUAUAGAUAAAGAAUAUUGAAAUGGAUCGUGUUGUACAAAAGACAGAACAAAAAACAAGCAAAGCAAAUGUGCGUUAGAGAAAGAAAAGACGUAUUCUGCCACCAGUUUUACAAGGAUUUAUGGGUGAAGCAAAUUUAAGAUUUGCCAAAGGCGAAGUAGACUUAGCAACCAAAAUAUGUAUGGAAAUUAUUAG